CCUACGGGGGGCAGCAGUAGGGAAUAUUGGGCAAUGGAUGCAAGUCUGACCCAGCCAUGCCGCGUGGAGGAAGAAGGUCCUCUGGAUUGUAAACUCCUUUUGUCGGGGAAGAAGAGUCAUCUUGCGAGGUGAUGUGACGGUACCCGAUGAAUAAGCCACGGCUAACUACGUGCCAGCAGCCGCGGUAAUACGUAGGUGGCAAGCGUUGUCCGGAUUUAUUGGGUUUAAAGGGUGCGUAGGUGGUUUAUUAAGUCAGUGGUGAAAGCUGGUUGCUC
rnacentral:rRNA from 1 species